ensembl:lncRNA
GUCUUUGUGUGUCUGCACCAGACAGAACUGUUUCGUUUGUUUCGGUGUUAUUCAGUGUUCAGUUUUUUUAUUAAAUAAGAUAAACACUUACCACGCUGCCCUUUGGUCCUCACUUUCUUCCCAAGACAGCCGUUACAGAACCACCCACCAAAAAAGGACCACGCAGCGUGGUAUCGGGCAGCAGCGAUCUCAGGACUCCUGGACAUGGGAGGACGUUUUGGACGGCAAGGGUUGCUACACAUGGGAGGAGAUCCUGGCUGGAAGGGAUCGCCUCCCAUGGGAACAGGUGGAGGCAGCCAGGAGAGCGGAGGCAGCAGACAAAAAGUGUUGCUCCUGCACAGGGAAUUCUUUCCUACCGUGACAGGAGAAACCUUGGCAGCUGUCAGACAUCGUCGAGGAGGGAAAAUUGAAUAUCUAAAAUCUCCAUGGAGCACGGAGAUGGGAAAUGAAUGAGAUGGUGGCAUCCUGUUGGAGGGCGCACAAUGCUCUCUUUCUCUGGAGGCGACAGGUGAAGACUGCUGAGGCCAUAGUAAAACUAUGAAAUAAUACCAGAAUGGAAACUACUUAUCCC